UACAGAGGUCCCAAGCGUUGUUCGGAUUCACUGGGCGUAAAGGGUGCGUAGGUGGUUGGGCAAGUCUGAUGUGAAAUCUCCGGGCUUAACCCGGAAAUGGCAUUGGAAACUGCCUGGCUAGAGUGUUGGAGGGGGGACUGGAAUUCUCGGUGUAGCAGUGAAAUGCGCAGAUAUCAGGAGGAACACCGGUGGCGAAGGCGGGUCUCUGGGCCGAUAUUGACGCUGAGGAGCGAAAGCGUGGGGAGCGAACAGG
rnacentral:rRNA from 1 species